AGUAACACAUGGGAAACCUCCCUCAGAAUGGGGAACAUCUCCGAGAAAUCGGAGCUAAUACCGCAUAAGACCACAGUCUGGCAUCAGACAGGGGUAAAAGCAGUAAUGCGUUUUGAGAUGGUCCUGUGUCCUAUCAGCUAGUUGGUGAGGUAACGGCUCACCAAGGCUAAGACGGGUAUCCGGCCUGAAAGGGUGAACGGACACACUGGAACUGAGACACGGUCCAGACUCCUACGGGAGGCAGCAGUGGGGAAUUUUGGACAAUGGGCGCAAGCCUGAUCCAGCGACGCCGCGUGAAGGAUGAAGGCCUUCGGGUUGUAAACUUCUUUUGGAGGGGACGAAUAAAUUGACGGUACCCUCAGAAAAAGCCACGGCUAACUACGUGCCAGCAGCCGCGGUAAUACGUAGGUGGCGAGCGUUACUCGGAAUUACUAGGCGUAAAGCGUAUGUAGGCGGUUGUAUAAGUCUAUGGUGAAAUUUCCUGGCUCAACUGGGAAGGGACAUAGAUACUGUAUAGCUUGAGUGUUGGAGGGGGAGG
rnacentral:rRNA from 1 species